rnacentral:rRNA from 1 species
UACGUAGGGGGCAAGCGUUGUCCGGAAUCAUUGGGCGUAAAGAGCGUGUAGGCGGCCCGAUAAGUCCGCUGUGAAAGUCCAGGGCUCAACCCUGGAAUGCCGGUGGAUACUGUCGGGCUCGAAUCCGGAAGAGGUGAGUGGAAUUCCUGGUGUAGCGGUGAAAUGCGCAGAUAUCGAGAGGAACACCUGCGGCGAAGGCGGGUUGCUGGGCUGAUACUGACGCUGAGGCGCGAAAGCCAGGGGAGCGAACGGG